AUAACAUUGCGAGAGGGCAUCUGAUUGCAAUUAAAGUUUCGACGGUAUAUGAUUGAUGUGCGUUUGAUUAGCUUGUUGGUAGGGUAACGGCCUACCAAGGCGACGAUCAAUAGCUGGCGUGAGAGCGCGACCAGCCACACUGGAACUGAGACACGGUCCAGACUCCUACGGGAGGCAGCAGUAGGGAAUAUUAGGACAAUGGGCGAAAGCCUGAUCCAGCCAUGCCGCGUGAUAGAUGAAGGCCCUCUGGGUUGUAAAUAUCUUUUAUCUGGGAAGAAACAAUCUUAUUCUUAAGAUCUUGACGGUACCAGAGGAAUAAGCACCGGCUAACUCCGUG
rnacentral:rRNA from 1 species